rnacentral:rRNA from 1 species
AGUGAACGCUGGCGGCAGGCCUAACACAUGCAAGUCGAACGGCAGCACAGUAAGAGCUUGCUCUUAUGGGUGGCGAGUGGCGGACGGGUGAGGAAUACAUCGGAAUCUACUUUUUCGUGGGGGAUAACGUAGGGAAACUUACGCUAAUACCGCAUACGACCUUCGGGUGAAAGCAGGGGACCUUCGGGCCUUGCGCGAUUAAAUGAGCCGAUGUCGGAUUAGCUAGUUGGCGGGGUAAAGGCCCACCAAGGCGACGAUCCGUAGCUGGUCUGAGAGGAUGAUCAGCCACACGGGAACUGAGACACGGUCCAGACUCCUACGGGAGGCAGCAGUGGGGAAUAUUGGACAAUGGGCGCAAGCCUGAUCCAGCCAUGCCGCGUGGGUGAAGAAGGCCUUCGGGUUGUAAAGCCCUUUUGUUGGGAAAGAAAAGCAGUCGGCUAAUACCCGAUUGUUCUGACGGUACCCAAAGAAUAAGCACCGGCUAACUUCGUGCCAGCCGCCGCUGUAACAC